rnacentral:lncRNA from 1 species
CUUCGCACGGCGGCUUGCUAUCUGGCCGUCCCAUCUGGCCGUGGCCGUUUGUCUGCAGGGCUGGCAUCGGAGAGCCGAGCUCGCAGGCACAAGAGGCCCAGCACACGGGGCCCCUUCCCUGGAGACAUGGCACACGGCCAGGCCGCGGGGUGUGGCUGAAAUCAGCCACCCCCCAGGCUCUUGGGGGCAGGAGACAAAGAAAAGCCAGCGUCCCCGUGUCCCGCAGCCCAGGGGGUGUGUUGUGCUCUCUGCUUUGUGAGUCACCACGGGAUGUGCCCAACAGCCCGUAAGUGGCGUCCACAGAUGGACGGACAACAGCCACGGGUCCCUGCGUGUACGGAAGAGGACUGACCCGGAACAGGAAUGGAGCUCUGACCCCGGCUGCCCCGGGGAGGGACCGUGAGGACUCGAUGCUCACCAGGGAGGCCAGACGCACGGGACACGUCACGCAUGGUCGUGCGGAAAAGGCAAAUUCACGGAAUCGGGAAAGCAAACGGGCGGUUCUCACCGGGGGGGGGGGGACGGGGGUGGCGUGUGGCCACGCAGGGACACGGGGUCUGCUCUGCGGAUGGAAGGUUCUGGAAAUGGAGGUGGUCGUUGUACAAUGUUGUGAACGUACUCUCAGCCCAGAGCUUGUAUGUGUUAAACAGAAACCAUCCCCACUUUAAAUUCCUGGAGGUGUGAGUCUCCCCCAAAUUACUGCCACGUGGUGAGCUGCGGCCACCGGCCAGUACCUGUGACUCCUCAGAGCUCGCUGAUCAUCUAGCGGAAAGUCAGCGGCCUUGGACGGACCACUCCACGUCUCCCGACCUCCCGCCCCUGGAAACCGCCGUCUGUCUCUGUGUCCGUGAGUCUGGGCAUUUUGGGUUCUACGGAGAAGCGCGAGUGUGCAGAACGUGGGUUUCUCUGAUGUAUGACACAGGGUCUGACCACGUUCUUGCAAAUGGUGGGACUGCCUGAUCCUCAAAGCUCAGUGAUAGACCAUGACGGAUGUAAUAAAAAGUACGAAACCGGNNNNNNNNNNNNNNNNNNNNGGAGGGGGGGUGGUAUGUG